GACGAACGCUGGCGGCGUGCUUAACACAUGCAAGUCGAACGAAGAGCGAUGGAAGCUUGCUUCUAUCAAUCUUAGUGGCGAACGGGUGAGUAACGCGUAAUCAACCUGCCCUUCAGAGGGGGACAACAGUUGGAAACGACUGCUAAUACCGCAUACGAUCUAAUCUCGGCAUCGAGGAUAGAUGAAAGGUGGCCUCUACAUGUAAGCUAUCACUGAAGGAGGGGAUUGCGUCUGAUUAGCUAGUUGGAGGGGUAACGGCCCACCAAGGCGAUGAUCAGUAGCCGGUCUGAGAGGAUGAACGGCCACAUUGGGACUGAGACACGGCCCAGACUCCUACGGGAGGCAGCAGUGGGGAAUCUUCCGCAAUGGACGAAAGUCUGACGGAGCAACGCCGCGUGAGUGAUGACGGCCUUCGGGUUGUAAAGCUCUGUUAAUCGGGACGAAAGGCCUUCUUGCGAAUAGUGAGAAGGAUUGACGGUACCGGAAUAGAAAGCCACGGCUAACCACGUG
rnacentral:rRNA from 1 species